rnacentral:lncRNA from 1 species
AUGUAAGCAAGCUUUAUUCUUAUUUGCGUCUGGGCUCCAAGGAGAAAAUGGGGGGUUCCAAGUGCCAGCUUACACAACGCUCUCAUGGAGGCACAGAGACGGUCUCUGCAGCUGUGUUUCUGGGAUGAGAAGACAUCCACUGGGGUCUUGGAACGUACCUUCACGGAUUAGGAGCGAGUACGAAGGAUCUGUUGAUUGUUGAUUAAUUAGGCAAACCAACAUGGAGUCCUGCAUCAGAAAGAAAUGGCUGCAGGUGGUGGAGCUGAGGAAGUAAACGAGAUCGCCCAGGAGGAGUGUGGCCAGUGGUCAGGGAGUGGACUCGGAUUAGCACAGGUUCCAUGUGCACAGGGACCUCGUCUGUCUUUGUGGCUGCGUCGGCUGCACUGAGUGCAUUGUGCCCACAUCCACUGCAGAGGAGGAGGAAUGGGCAAAAGGUGAAGUCACUGCAAACACUGAGUACAGGAAGAAAGCUGAGGCUUGUCUUCAUCUUGCAAGAUGUCUGGGCACCUAAUGCUUCGGAAGACGUUGGUUCUCAGAAGGUCAUGCCGGCAUCCAGGGGCAAAAUCUGGGUCUGCUUGACCGAGGACUCCGCAAAUCCCAGAGCAGGCCUGAACCGGGAUUCUCUUGAAGGUUCUGCUAUCCUGAGACCGGGCCAGUCAGCUGCCCUCAAAGGAGCUCCAUCUCCUCUCGGAUUCUGCAAGUCCCAGUGUAAGUGCUGCACUGUGAACCCGGGAGGCAUUCACUAAAUAUUGUGGAAGAUGACGUGAGUGGAGCCAUAUUAAAAUAGAGCCAGAGCAGCCACUUUGGAGGCAUUGCCUUGCACAUCUUGUUUUCCCUAUCUUGCAAACUGGACCAAAAUGCCAACAUUCCAAGAAGUCAGUAAGGAUAAGAAUAUCCUGUCUGUAAGGACUGAUGAAACUAGACUUUUCUGAUGACUGCAUUGCUAACCAAUCAGUGAAGUACAAGUCUAGCGUUUGCCUGAAGAUCGACCUCAGGUCAAUCUAAGAAGUCGAAAUCCAGCCUCACCUUACCCAACACCAACGCACUCUUCUUUAAUACAGCUCACUUCAUCCUCCCCCUUUGCCAUAAAAACCCUAAGCUCUUCUCCUAUAAUCAGGACACUAUUUGGGUUUGUACGUGAAUCUGUGCUCCCCAAAUUGCAAUUCG